ACGAACGCUGGCGGCGUGCUUCACACAUGCAAGUCGAACGGAAAGGCCCUGCUUUUGUGGGGUGCUCGAGUGGCGAACGGGUGAGUAACACGUGAGUAACCUGCCCUUGACUUUGGGAUAACUUCAGGAAACUGGGGCUAAUACCGGAUAGGAGCUCCUGCUGCAUGGUGGGGGUUGGAAAGUUUCGGCGGUUGGGGAUGGACUCGCGGCUUAUCAGCUUGUUGGUGGGGUAGUGGCUUACCAAGGCUUUGACGGGUAGCCGGCCUGAGAGGGUGACCAGCCACAUUGGGACUGAGAUACGGCCCAGACUCCUACGGGAGGCAGCAGUGGGGAAUAUUGCACAAUGGGCGGAAGCCUGAUGCAGCAACGCCGCGUGCGGGAUGACGGCCUUCGGGUUGUAAACCGCUUUCGCCUGUGACGAAGCGUGAGUGACGGUAAUGGGUAAAGAAGCACCGGCUAACUACGUG
rnacentral:rRNA from 1 species